UUCUGGUUGCUUUAUAUGUCGGAGUUCACCAUCUACAACCGUCCCUUCGGGGACAUCCAAUAAAAUUGGAACGAUACAGAGAAGAUUAGCAUGGCCCCUGCGCAAGGAUGACACGCACAAAUCGAGAAAUGGUCCAAAUUUUUUUCUGCCCAAUUUUCCUAUCAUCGUCUUCCCCAAAACCCUCUUGGCCAAUUCACCAACGGUCGCCGGUGUAAUCUGCGGAGUACGUCGUCGUCGCUGACCUUAUUUGACUUCCUUCCGGUUGAUUAUCGUCUCCUUAUGUUGAAUUAGGGCUCCAACUAGAUGAAAGAACGGUGCCGCAGCCAUGGGCGUAUUUGAGGAGUUGAUUAUCGUCUCUUUAUGUUGAACUAGCGUUCCAACUCGAUGAAAGACAAGUGCCGCAUCCAUGGGUGUAUCUUGAGGAGGUUGAGGCUCGCCCAUUUUUGGAUUCUGAUGAUUAGUCAAAUAUUGGAUCAGGCCUCUUUAUUUUUAAUACUUCUAAGACAAUUGAAGAAGUUGAAGAUCGAAACCAUCUUAGGAGUGGUUACAGUUGGAGCUAUAAAAUGCAGGUACAAGACACUCCAACAACAAAUUUUUUGAUGUCAGAUUUUGCUCCUGAGUACUAAUAUGAACAUAAUGAAUUUGAAUUGGUGGGUGAUGGUGAUGUAUGUAGAGAGAUGAACCAUGUCUACAUAUGUAGUAUGAAUUGUCGCACAACCCCAUUUAAUUCAAGAAAUCAGAUGCUAUUUACCAACAACAUAGCAUGAGACGAAAUAGUAGAUUUUUGUAUGUAUUUGACAUGUAAGUUUGGACCAAGCUUCCAUUUUAUUUGAUAUAGAGGUUUUACC